GGAUUAAAUGAAGAAUGAUGCAUGCUAACAUGUAAACCAUUUAGCCUUAUGUCCAGAACACAGCCAAUACAGAGGGAGAAGAGGGACUUUUUAUUAACUACAUUGUUCAUGCGUUUCAUUGUCUUAGGCAUUAAUUUGUUUAGUUACCUCUAAAUCCAUAUGAAAAAUUAAAUAUUAUCCCACUCAAGUGACUUACGAGUGGCAGUUGCUGUCAUUUGCCUAUGAAUUUGGCCAGUUGUUGGCUUUAUUCAUUUGCUGAGUGAAUUUUAUAUUCAUGGUAUGAAAGUCAACAAUAACCUAGGCUAAUUUGUGUGAUAAUAGAAAGGAUGGGCACUUCUUGGUGAUUCACUCAUCUCUCAUUUAUCGUGGACUUCCUUUGCUCUGCACACUUUGCCUGCGUCACUUGUCCUUGGGCUUUUGCCACAGUGGGUCUCCAGUCCUUCUGGCCAAUAUUCUGCCUGGGAAGUGGGAAAGAACUGUGGCAAAAAUGCCAUCUCAGAUCAGGCAAAAGAUGAUGGGAAAUGCAGCCUUAUGACGUGAUGUCCUGUUUAGAGGCUUUUCAUCAGUUUUAAUGAAACACAAAUGUGCCCAAAGCAAGUU
rnacentral:lncRNA from 1 species